AGCAGCCGCGGUAAUUCCAGCUCCAAUAGCGUAUACUAAAGUUGUUGCAGUUAAAAAGCUCGUAGUUGAAUUUCGGGAUCAAUAUAUCGGUCGUGCCACAGGUAUGUACUGGUCUUGCUGAUUCCUCCCUCUUGACGAGCCGUAAUGCCAUUAAUUUGGUGUUGCGGGGAAUCAGGACUGUUACUUUGAAAAAAU
rnacentral:rRNA from 1 species